ensembl:lncRNA
CUGACUUGUAGGGACAUGUAGACCCAAAUUGCAGCCCUUCACUGCACGGCUAAGUACAAAAGAGCUUUUUGUCUCUCUGAACUGUGCCGCUGGCUUUUCGGAAGGAAGCAUUAUCUGUUCAUUCAUGAUAAAAACAGAAGACCAUGCAUGUUAGUUUCCACCAUCUGAUAAAAGAAAGAGGAGAAAAAUCCCCAACCUACGUCACUGGAAAGGAUUUGAUUAUAUCUUAGUCUUCUUUGGAUGGGCUCUGAAUUUAGCUCAGACUUCGAUGUUUAUGAAAUCUUCACUGCAGACUGCAGUGAUCUUAUUUUCUGUUUCUACUGUGGUCUGAGAUAUAAUGAUACAUCCUGCAGUGACAGGUGGUGACAUAUCUGACCUGACGCAGUUGUUUAUUGUGUUUUAUUGUUUUAUUUUUAUUCAGAUAUCUGCUAUUGCUCUUUUUUUCCAUGCUCUGUGUGACAUUAUUAUAACGCCUGAGUGCAUUUUAUAUGUUUGAAGUCCACGGACUAACCUGGACUGUCUCAUAGUUCAGAGUUUUGAAUGUGGUGGUGCAGUGAAGCAAGAAACAAAGAUGGUGCAGGCAGCUGGUUGAAAAGAGUCUGAUUUUGAGGCUGGUGUGCAGCCGAGAUAAAGAUGACAUGAAAAGAGUCCGUGAAGCGAGGAUAAACCUGACAAGAAGACAUUAUUUUUAGCUAUAGGAGUUCACUCAAACAUUAAUCUGGUGAAUAGGAAGGAUUUUAAUUCUGAAGACUUUUUAACACAAUCUGAGUCAGUUGGUGCUUUCAGCCCCUGACAGUUCGGCUCGUUUCCUGUCCUGAUGCCUCAGGAUCUCACCCUUUCUCCUGAUCUGCAUCCUCGCCUGUUGUGCUGCCUUCAGGCGUUGAAACUCAUCAGAAAACUGCUCAGUCAUGAUGUUCAAGUUAGUUUUAAAUACAAUUUGUUUGCUGUUUGCACGUUUGAGGUCUGUGGUGAUGCUACAGAGGUCAGAGGGACUUCCUCUGAGCUCUAAAAGCAGCAGCUGCUCUGAAAACAGUCCAGAGGUUUCUGAUUUUUAUCGAUCUGUUCUCAGAACUUUUAAGAAUUUAUGUCUUUAUUUAUCUGAUGUACUCAAUAUGUUAAUAUUUCACUUUUUGUUUUUUGUUUUGUUACUCCCCACUGAUCUUCUUUAGUUUGUCAGUUCAAAUGUUGUGGAUCCUUAAUAUCCAGUCUGACUCUGACAGAGUGACGAGCCAAGUUCAUUGUAAAUAUCCACUGUCCAAAAAAAGAAUAAAAUAGAUAUUUGAAGCUCCAAAGGGACAGUGCAAUGUGUAAAAGGAAAGUGGAAGAAGAUGGACAGGUGUUCAAAAUUAAAACCUGAAAAACUGAAAGUGAGCAGGAUGAGCGGUCAUAUCAGGAGUCAGCAGGAGGAACGAGGUAUGAAACUCGUGGAGAGAAAUGAGGCCUCCCUCCAUGUUUAGCUGUUGUUUGUAUACUUUGUGUCCAGCAUCAGU